GGAGACCUUACGGCCUGUGUGGGGGCCGGCAGAUAAAUGCUAUCCAGUGACCCAGAACCGCGGAACAGAGAACCGGAAAUGGCAAGCAAGGC
rnacentral:lncRNA from 1 species